rnacentral:ncRNA from 1 species
UAUCUGGUUGAUCCUGCCAGUAGUCAUAUGCUUGUCUCAAAGAUUAAGCCAUGCAUGUCUAAGUAUAAGCACUUGUACUGUGAAACUGCGAAUGGCUCAUUAAAUCAGUUAUCGUUUAUUUGAUUGUACCUUUACUACUUGGAUAACCGUGGUAAUUCUAGAGCUAAUACAUGCGGAAAGUCCCGACUUCUGGAAGGGAUGUAUUUAUUAGAUUCAAAACCAAUGCGGGUUCUGCCCGGUCAUUUGGUGAUUCAUAGUAACUGUUCGAAUCGCAGGGCCGCGCGCCGGCGAUGUUUCAUUCAAAUUUCUGCCCUAUCAACUGUCGAUGGUAAGGUGUUGGCUUACCAUG